rnacentral:rRNA from 1 species
GAUGAACGCUGGCGGCGUGCUUAACACAUGCAAGUCGAACGGGAUCCAAGGAGCGUUUUUCGUUUUUUGGUGAGAGUGGCGAACGGGUGAGUAACACGUGAGUAACCUGUCCUUUUCUUUGGGAUAAGCUCCUGAAAGGGUGUUUAAUACCUUAUGUUCUGUCUGCCUCGCAUGGGGUGGGUGGGAAAGAUUUUUUCGGUGAAGGGUGGGCUCGCGGUCUAUCAGCUUGUUGGUGGGGUGAUGGCUUACCAAGGCUUUGACGGGUAGCCGGCCUGAGAGGGUGGUCGGUAACAUUGGGAGUGCGAUACGGCCCAGACAGCUGCCGGAGGCAGAAGUGGGGGAUAUUGCACAAUGGGCGCAAGCCUGAUGCAGCGACGCCGCGUGGGGGAUGAAGGCCUUAGGGUUGUAAACUUCUUUUGCUAUGAACAAGGCGCAUCUUUGGGGUGUGUUGAGUGUAGGGGUUGAUUAGCGCCGGCUAACUACGUG